GGUGCCGGAGCAUGCCUAAUGGGUGAAGAACGGUUUUGCAUGGAAGAUGACCCCAACGCACUUUCCACCAAAACAUCUAACUGAAAGAGUAGUCUUGAGAUGCCAAAUCCAACUUAAAUUCUGGUUUACCUCAUCAUACUGGUUGUUUUUGCGCCAUGAAACGAUCUUCACCUUGAUAUUCGGGGAUAUUAAUGGCCAUUACACGAGUAACAUAAUGUUCAGA
rnacentral:lncRNA from 1 species